AUUGAACGCUGGCGGCGUGCUUAACACAUGCAAGUCGUGCGGUAACAGGCGUAGCAAUACGUGCUGACGAGCGGCGAACGGGUGCGUAAUACAUGGGAAUCUGCCCUUUAGUGGGGAAUAACCCGGCGAAAGCCGGGCUAAUGCCGCAUAAGAUCUUCGGAUGAAAGCGGGGGGAUCGUAAGACCUCGCGCUGAUGGAUGAGCCCAUGUCGGAUUAGCAGUUGGUGAGGUAAAGGCUCACCAAGGCGACGAUCCGUAGCUGGUCUGAGAGGACGGCCAGCCACACUGGGACUGAGACACGGCCCAGACUCCUACGGGAGGCAGCAGUGGGGAAUACUGGACAAUGGGGGAAACCCUGAUCCAGCGACGCCGCGUGUGUGAAGAAGGCCUGCGGGUU
rnacentral:rRNA from 1 species